rnacentral:rRNA from 1 species
UACGAGGGGGCAAGCGUUGUUCGGAAUUAUUGGGCGUAAAGGGUGCGUAGGCGGCUUGGUAAGUCCGCUGUGAAAGUCCAGGGCUCAACCCUGGAAUGCCGGUGGAAACUGUCAAGCUUGAGUCCGGAAGAGGCGAGUGGAAUUCCUGGUGUAGCGGUGAAAUGCGCAGAUAUCAGGAGGAACACCAAUGGCGAAGGCAGCUCGCUGGGACGGUACUGACGCUGGAGACGCGAAAGCGUGGGGAGCAAACAGG